GAGUUUGAUCGUGGCUCAGAUUGAACGCUGGCGGCAUGCCUUACACAUGCAAGUCGAACGGCAGCACGGGAGCUUGCUCCUGGUGGCGAGUGGCGAACGGGUGAGUAAUGCAUCGGAACGUAUCCUGGAGUGGGGGAUAACGUAGCGAAAGUUACGCUAAUACCGCAUAUUCUGUGAGCAGGAAAGCGGGGGACCUUCGGGCCUCGCGCUCUUGGAGCGGCCGAUGUCGGAUUAGCUAGUUGGUGAGGUAAAGGCUCACCAAGGCGACGAUCCGUAGCAGGUCUGAGAGGAUAAUCUGCCACACUGGAACUGAGACACGGUCCAGACUCCUACGGGAGGCAGCAGUGGGGAAUUUUGGACAAUGGGGGCAACCCUGAUCCAGCCAUGCCGCGUGAGUGAAGAAGGCC
rnacentral:rRNA from 1 species